rnacentral:rRNA from 1 species
GAUGAACGCUGGCGGCGUGCCUAAUACAUGCAAGUCGAGCGAACGGACGAGAAGCUUGCUUCUCUGAUGUUAGCGGCGGACGGGUGAGUAACACGUGGAUAACCUACCUAUAAGACUGGGAUAACUUCGGGAAACCGGAGCUAAUACCGGAUAAUAUUUUGAACCGCAUGGUUCAAAAGUGAAAGACGGUCUUGCUGUCACUUAUAGAUGGAUCCGCGCUGCAUUAGCUAGUUGGUAAGGUAACGGCUUACCAAGGCAACGAUGCAUAGCCGACCUGAGAGGGUGAUCGGCCACACUGGAACUGAGACACGGUCCAGACUCCUACGGGAGGCAGCAGUAGGGAAUCUUCCGCAAUGGGCGAAAGCCUGACGGAGCAACGCCGCGUGAGUGAUGAAGGUCUUCGGAUCGUAAAGCUCUGUUAUUAGGGAAGAACAUAUGUGUAAGUAACUGUGCACAUCUUGACGGUACCUAAUCAGAAAGCCACGGCUAACUACGUGCCAGCAGCCGCGGUAAUACGUAGGUGGCAAGCGUUAUCCGGAAUUAUUGGGCGUAAAGCGCGCGUAGGCGGUUUUUUAAGUCUGAUGUGAAAGCCCACGGCUCAACCGUGGAGGGUCAUUGGAAACUGGAAAACUUGAGUGCAGAAGAGGAAAGUGGAAUUCCAUGUGUAGCGGUGAAAUGCGCAGAGAUAUGGAGGAACACCAGUGGCGAAGGCGACUUUCUGGUCUGUAACUGACGCUGAUGUGCGAAAGCGUGGGGAUCAAACAGGAUUAGAUACCCUGGUAGUCCACGCCGUAAACGAUGAGUGCUAAGUGUUAGGGGGUUUCCGCCCCUUAGUGCUGCAGCUAACGCAUUAAGCACUCCGCCUGGGGAGUACGACCGCAAGGUUGAAACUCAAAGGAAUUGACGGGGACCCGCACAAGCGGUGGAGCAUGUGGUUUAAUUCGAAGCAACGCGAAGAACCUUACCAAAUCUUGACAUCCUUUGACAACUCUAGAGAUAGAGCUUUCCCCUUCGGGGGACAAAGUGACAGGUGGUGCAUGGUUGUCGUCAGCUCGUGUCGUGAGAUGUUGGGUUAAGUCCCGCAACGAGCGCAACCCUUAAGCUUAGUUGCCAUCAUUAAGUUGGGCACUCUAAGUUGACUGCCGGUGACAAACCGGAGGAAGGUGGGGGUGACGUCAAAUCAUCAUGCCCCUUAUGAUUUGGGCUACACACGUGCUACAAUGGACAAUACAAAGGGCAGCGAAACCGUGAGGUCAAGCAAAUCCCAUAAAGUUGUUCUCAGUUCGGAUUGUAGUCUGCAACUCGACUACAUGAAGCUGGAAUCGCUAGUAAUCGUAGAUCAGCAUGCUACGGUGAAUACGUUCCCGGGUCU